GAUGAACGCUGGCGGCGUGCUUAACACAUGCAAGUCGAACGGGAAAUAUUUCAUUGAGACUUCGGUGGAUUUGAUCUAUUUCUAGUGGCGGACGGGUGAGUAACGCGUGGGUAACCUGCCUUAUACAGGGGGAUAACAGUCAGAAAUGGCUGCUAAUACCGCAUAAGCGCACAGAGCUGCAUGGCUCAGUGUGAAAAACUCCGGUGGUAUAAGAUGGACCCGCGUUGGAUUAGCUAGUUGGUGGGGUAACGGCCCACCAAGGCGACGAUCCAUAGCCGGCCUGAGAGGGUGAACGGCCACAUUGGGACUGAGACACGGCCCAGACUCCUACGGGAGGCAGCAGUGGGGAAUAUUGCACAAUGGGGGAAACCCUGAUGCAGCGACGCCGCGUGAAGGAAGAAGUAUCUCGGUAUGUAAACUUCUAUCAGCAGGGAAGAUAGUGACGGUACCUGACUAAGAAGCCCCGGCAA
rnacentral:rRNA from 1 species